AUUGAACGCUGGCGGCAUGCCUUACACAUGCAAGUCGAACGGCAGCACGGGAGCAAUCCUGGUGGCGAGUGGCGAACGGGUGAGUAAUAUAUCGGAACGUGCCCAGUAGUGGGGGAUAGCCCGGCGAAAGCCGGAUUAAUACCGCAUACGACCUAAGGGUGAAAGCGGGGGACCGUAAGGCCUCGCGCUAUUGGAGCGGCCGAUAUCAGAUUAGGUAGUUGGUAGGGUAAAAGCCUACCAAGCCAUCGAUCUGUAGCUGGUCUGAGAGGACGACCAGCCACACUGGGACUGAGACACGGCCCAGACUCCUACGGGAGGCAGCAGUGGGGAAUUUUGGACAAUGGGCGAAAGCCUGAUCCAGCCAUGCCGCGUGCAGGAAGAAGGCCUUCGGGUUGUAAACUGCUUUUGUCGGGGAAGAAACGCUCUGGGCUAAUACCCUGGGGUAAUGACGGUACCCGAAGAAUAAGCACCGGCUAACUGCGUGCCAGCAGCCGCGGUAA
rnacentral:rRNA from 1 species